AUUGAACGCUGGCGGCAGGCCUAACACAUGCAAGUCGAACGAGUGGCGGACGGGUGAGUAACACGUGGGAACCUACCCAUCAGAGGGGGAUAACACUUGGAAACGGUAGCUAAUACCGCAUACCAUCAGAUGUGCCCAGAUGGGAUUAGCUUGUUGGUGGGGUAACGGCUCACCAAGGCGACGAUCCCUAGCUGGUCUGAGAGGAUGACCAGCCACACUGGAACUGAGACACGGUCCAGACUCCUACGGGAGGCAGCAGUGGGGAAUAUUGCACAAUGGGCGCAAGCCUGAUGCAGCCAUGCCGCGUGUAUGAAGAAGGCCUUCGGGUUGUAAAGUACUUUCAGCGGGGAGGCGUUACCCGCAGAAGAAGCACCGGCUAACUCCGUGCCAGCAGCCGCGGUAAUUC
rnacentral:rRNA from 1 species